rnacentral:rRNA from 1 species
ACAUCGGUGACAGGUGGUGCAUGGUUGUCGUCAGCUCGUGUCGUGAGAUGUUGGGUUAAGUCCCGCAACGAGCGCAACCCCUAUUGUUAGUUGCCAUCAUUCAGUUGGGCACUCUAGCGAGACUGCCGGUAAUAAACCGGAGGAAGGUGGGGAUGACGUCAAAUCAUCAUGCCCCUUAUGACCUGGGCUACACACGUGCUACAAUGGUUGGUACAACGAGUUGCGAGUCGGUGACGGCGAGCUAAUCUCUUAAAGCCAAUCUCAGUUCGGAUUGUAGGCUGCAACUCGCCUACAUGAAGUCGGAAUCGCUAGUAAUCGCGGAUCAGCACGCCGCGGUGAACACGUUCCCGGGCCUU